GGAUCCAGACUUUGAUUAUGGCUCAGGAUGAACGCUAGCGACAGGCCUAACACAUGCAAGUCGAGGGGUAACAGGGAAGCUUGCUUCUGCUGACGACCGGCGCACGGGCGCGUAACGCGUAUGAAACCUGCCUUAUACUGGGGGAUAGCCCGAAGAAAUUCGGAUUAAUACCCCAUAACACUACAAAAUCGCAUGAUUUAGUAGUUAAAACUCCGGUGGUAUAAGAUGGUCAUGCGUGACAUUAGCUAGUUGGUAAGGUAACGGCUUACCAAGGCGACGAUGUCUAGGGGUUCUGAGAGGAAGGUCCCCCACACUGGUACUGAGACACGGACCAGACUCCUACGGGAGGCAGCAGUGAGGAAUAUUGGUCAAUGGACGCAAGUCUGAACCACCCAUGUCGCGUGCAGGAAGACUGCCCUAUGGGUUGUAAACUGCUUUUA
rnacentral:rRNA from 1 species